rnacentral:lncRNA from 1 species
UCGAGCAGGGCGGAUCGGCCGCUGCCUGCUUAAAGCUGGGGCCGCCAGGAGUGCGAUCGCCUGCGGAUCUGCAGCUGGGCACCGGCCGCAACGCCCGCCCCGCGACGGCAGGGACUGAAGGGACUCCUGAAUGUCCGCGGGACGUGUCGCGGCGGCGCCCAGCACGGAGGAGGCAGGCAGGGAGGGAUUCCCACCCAGUGCCACGUGAGAACACAGGCGUGCAUCGCAGACAAGCCACACAGGCCUCGCAGGCUCAGCAUACAUGUCUGCAGCAACACCAUCAGGUACAGAGCCGAGGCCCAGGUAGGCAUGCUCAGCUGCACGCAGGAAGCAAGACACACCCAGACACACACAGGUAAGCCCUUACUCAGAGAAAGAAGGUGCAGGAGAUGUGUCUUGGGUAAUCACAGCCACAGCCUCUCAAGUGUGCACACACACACACACUCACACUGAGAUACACAGACACACAGAGAUACCUGGACGUGUCAAGCCUACAGCACAAACAGGCCCCUGCAGGUCCACCCGGAGGCUGUGUGGGCCGAGGCUGCUGCACACGUGUGCCCAGAUCCUCCCACCCCCACCCCAAUCCCGUGUCCUGCUCCAGGGAAGUCCAGGGCUCACAUGACCCAAGGGGAGGGCUCCCGGGACAGCCCUCGGAGAAACUGCAUCAUCCUCACUAAUGAUCCACUUCCUCCUCAGGGAAUAAAGGCUCAGGGACCGGCAGUUCUACUCUAGAGCCCACCAGCCUCUCAGAGCCUCCGGUGACUGGCCUGUGUCUCCCCCUGGAUGGACAUGUGGACGGC